rnacentral:rRNA from 1 species
GGAAGUAAAAGUCGUAACAAGGUUUCCGUAGGUGAACCUGCGGAAGGAUCAUUACCGAGUGCGGGCCCUCGCGGCCCAACCUCCCACCCUUGUCUCUAUCCACCUGUUGCUUUGGCGGGCCCACCGGGGCCACCUGGUCGCCGGGGGACGCCCGUCCCCGGGCCCGCGCCCGCCGAAGCGCUCUGUGAACCCUGAUGAAGAUGGGCUGUCUGAGUACUAUGAAAAUUGUCAAAACUUUCAACAAUGGAUCUCUUGGUUCCGGCAUCGAUGAAGAACGCAGCGAAAUGCGAUAAGUAAUGUGAAUUGCAGAAUUCCGUGAAUCAUCGAAUCUUUGAACGCACAUUGCGCCCCCUGGCAUUCCGGGGGGCAUGCCUGUCCGAGCGUCAUUUCUGCCCUCAAGCACGGCUUGUGUGUUGGGUGUGGUCCCCCCGGGGACCUGCCCGAAAGGCAGCGGCGACGUCCGUCUGGUCCUCGAGCGUAUGGGGCUCUGUCACUCGCUCGGGAAGGACCUGCGGGGGUUGGUCACCACCAUGUUUUUACCACGGUUGACCUCGGAUCAGGUAGGAGUUACCCGCUGAACUUAAGCAUAUCAAUAAGCGGAGGA